rnacentral:rRNA from 1 species
UGAAGUUUCGAUGGAUCCUGACGCCUCAUCGUGUGGAUGCUCCCAGGAUUACUUCUUAGAGGGACUAUCUGUAUUAAAGCAGAUGGAAGCAUGAGGCAAUAACAGGUCUGUGAUGCCCUUCGAUGUUCUGGGCCGCACGCGCGCUACACUGAUAAGUUCAACAAGUUUAACACCUUGGCCGGUAGGUCUGGGUAAUCUUCGUAAAACUUAUCGUGCUGGGGCUAGAUCAUUGUAAUUAUUGAUCUUCAACGAGGAAUUCCUAGUAAGCGUUGAGUCAUCAGCUCGCGUAACGUA